GAUGUACUCCCUCCGUCCGGAAAUACUUGUCAUCAAAACGGAUAGAAGACAAUGUAUCUAGACGUAUUUUAGUUCUAGAUACAUCUAUUUUUAUCCAUUUUGAUGACAAGUAUUUUCGGACGGAGGGAGUAUUAU
rfam:Triticum aestivum genome assembly, contig: Triticum_aestivum_CS42_TGACv1_scaffold_225523_3B